GGACGAAUCUGUUCCGAAGUAAUUCCCGGUCAAUUAAGCCUGCCCGCCCAAGUGACGGAUCGGCCCUGGGCCUGCUGCCUCAAACAUGUGCGGCGCUGUGCAUGGUUCGGACAUCGCCAUCCUCGGUAUCCACCGAAAACCGCCCAUGAUCGAUAACGACCGGAUCACCAAUGUUUGUAAAAUCCCUCUGGUAAUGGCCGCUUGCCCGACGGGGAGCCAUCAAAGCCCAAUCACGUCGAUAGAGGGGAGUAGCUUACAAAAGU
rnacentral:rRNA from 1 species